AGCCCCGUGGUGUAGCGGCCAAGCACGCCGGGCUUUGGACCCGGAGACCCCGGUUCGAAUCCGGGCGGGGCUACCA
rnacentral:tRNA from 2 species